CGCUGGUGCAAGAUAUCGGACCUGAUAUAAAUAUGUUCUUAGAGACGUUCGUGAAUUAUGUUUGUCUCGCUUAUAGCAACGUCACGAGUAAACACGAUGCGUCAGUGUCGGCUGGUGAACUAUUUCCGACGGCACUGUCUUUCUGCGCGCGGCUCGUCUUCCGCUGAUAAAGAUGAGCCCUGGAGCCCGAGCCCUGGAUGUCCCCAUCGUGGGGAAACAGAAACGGAGGAGCACGUUAUUAUGGACUGCCCAGCCACAUCGGAUGCAAGACGCAGGCAGCCCACCGGCACAUCCGAACCCUAACUCCAGGACAUUAUCUAUCCUCGUGGCAACCUCCAUCAUCGGAAGCUUGUCCAAAGAGCUCUUCUGAACUUUUUCAAGGUUCGUCGACCCACAAGGACGGCUACCGGAACACACGCUGCUUGCCAGCAAAUAAUCUAACGGUCUUCCCCUCCCUUUUCCCUCUCCCACGAGCAAGGUGCCGCCAGCCUAGGCAGGCAGACCGCUCGUCUACCCAACGUUACCCCCCCCCCCCCUUACAAUGAGACUGUAUGUACCCCCGUGACGUUUACAGACGGCAAGUUUUGUUUUAUAUAAACGUCUUGUGGCGUGAUAAAUUCGAAAUUUCGUUAACGCAAUGCUUUCAAAAUGGUCUGAUGGACCUUUACGUUCGCCUUGAAAAUAUCCCUCUAUGAAUAACGAAGGUAAUAAAAGGUAACUUUCUUUUCGGACA